CCGACUGCUGUCAGACCAGACCCCUCCACGCCAGCCUAGGAGGGAUGGCGUUUAAUGGCCUUCUCCCCAGACCUCAAUGACUCUCUACUUUGUUCUGAGUUAGAAAAAGAGACUUUUAGGGAGAGCCAAUUCCCUCCAGGCCCCAGAGGACUUUUCCGUGUGCAUUGUGAUGGGAACCCAUUCAUUUAUCAUGGCCUGAAGCUGCCAACAUACCCGACCCAGAGCUUUCAAGCACCCAUGGGAAGAUCACGUGCAGGACAGUGAGCAAGGGACUUAGGGACCAAUUGAAUGGAAACUGCUUCAGGCUGUGGAAGUCAUGAGCUUCUCUUCAGGGGCAGAGGAAGCAACACCCAUUUGUAACACUACAUUCUGGUGAAAUACCAUUAAUUGUACACUCUUUGACAUGCCAGAAUGCAGGCACCAAGCCCACAGAUGCCGUAUCUGCUCAUUCUGCCUAGAACGUCACACGUGUGUCUUGCUAGGGUAAGGAAACUAACUUAGAGCAUCGCCUUGUCACAGGAUGGGAACAGGGAGCCCUCAGCGGAGUGGUGAGCAAAGAAGUGAAUAAUGACCCUUAAAACCUUCAGAUCAUAUUAUUACCAGAGCUGCCCACAGCUCCAGGAUAUCUUCCAGACCCAAAAUAUCAUUAGAAGAGAUAAAUCAGCAAUUACUUGCUCCUGACAGAGAAGAAAAACAGAGAGACAA